rnacentral:misc_RNA from 1 species
GAUGAAGAACGUAGCGAAAUGCGAUAAGUAGUGUGAAUUGCAGAAUUCAGUGAAUCAUCGAAUCUUUGAACGCACAUUGCGCCCCUUGGUAUCCCGAGGGGCAUGCCUGUUCGAGCGUCAUUUCACCACUCAAGCCUGGCUUGGUGUUGGGCGACGUCCCCUUUGGGGUCGCGCCUCGAAACGCUCGGCGGCGUGGCACCGGCUUUAAGCGUAGCAGAAUCUUUCGCUUUGGAAGUCGGGGCCCCGUCUGCCGGAAGACCUACUCGCAAGGUUGACCUCGGAUCAGGCAGGGAUACCCGCUGAACUUAAGCAUAUCAAUAAGCGGAGGA